UGGCCGCCAUACUCAGUAUCACUUGGGAAUGGUGACGUCGGUGGGGUUAUGAAGAUCUUUCUCCAAACCCUCACAGCCAACCUUGGGAUUUGCUUCAUCCUUGUGGAAGGGGACGGUUCUUGGGGAACGCGACUUCCCAACGGCUCCUGGACUGGAAUGGUCGGCAUGUGUGAGCGAGGGGAAGUGGACUUUGCCUUGGGACCAAUGGGGAUCAGCGAAGACCGGUCAGAAGUCAUGGACGUUAGUGUUCCGCUGUUCAUGGACCAGCAAACAAUAGCUUAUAAGCGUCCCGAGCUACAACCCGAGCUUGCAGGGUUUAUCAAGCCCUUUA